UACGUAGGGUGCGAGCGUUGUCCGGAAUUACUGGGCGUAAAGAGCUCGUAGGUGGUUUGUCGCGUUGUUCGUGAAAUCUCACGGCUUAACUGUGAGCGUGCGGGCGAUACGGGCAGACUAGAGUACUGCAGGGGAGACUGGAAUUCCUGGUGUAGCGAUGGAAUGCGCAGAUAUCAGGAGGAACACCGGUGGCGAAGGCGGGUCUCUGGGCAGUAACUGACGCUGAGGAGCGAAAGCGUGGGGAGCGAACAGGAUUAGAUACCCUGGUAGUCCACGCCGUAAACGGUGGGUACUAGGUGUGGGUUUCCUUCCUUGGGAUCCGUGCCGUAGCUAACGCAUUAAGGUACCCCGCCUGGGGAGUACG
rnacentral:rRNA from 1 species